rnacentral:misc_RNA from 1 species
GAUGAAGAACGUAGCGAAAUGCGAUACGUAAUGUGAAUUGCAGAAUUCAGUGAAUCAUCGAAUCUUUGAACGCACAUUGCACUCCUUGGUAUUCCGAGGAGUAUGCCUGUUUCAGUAUCAUGAGCACCCUCCCGCCUAACCUUUGGGUUUUGGCGAGGAAUUGGAAUGCGCCGACUCUUCACAGGGUUGGCACUUCUAAAAUGUAGUUCUUGACUGUCACCUAAUACAGCAGUUUGGCCUAAUAGUUUUGGCAUUUAUUGUCAGAUCUUUGGCUAACAUUUGCUCCAGGAGACCAGCCUUGAUAAAUACAGAAAAACUCAUUCAAAUUUUGAUCUGAAAUCAGGUAGGGCUACCCGCUGAACUUAAGCAUAUCAAUAAGCGGAGGAA